rnacentral:rRNA from 1 species
GGCCCGCACAAGCGGUGGAGUAUGUGGUUUAAUUCGACGCAACGCGAAGAACCUUACCCAGUCUUGACAUCCUUGGACAACCAUAGAGAUAUGGCCUUCCCCUUUACGGGGACCAAGUGACAGGUGCUGCACGGCUGUCGUCAGCUCGUGUCGUGAGAUGUUCGGUUAAGUCCGGUAACGAGCGCAACCCCUAUCGUUAGUUGCCAUCAUUCAGUUGGGCACUUUAGCGAGACUCCCGGUGUUAAACCGGCGGAAGAUGGGGACGACGUCAAGUCAUCAUGGCCCUUACGACUGGGGCUACACACGUACUACAAUGGCGACUACAAAGGGUAGCGAGACUGUGAAGUGGAGCCAAUCCCAAAAAAGUCGCCUCAGUUCGGAUUGUAGUCUGCAACUCGACUACAUGAAGUUGGAAUCGCUAGUAAUCG